rnacentral:sRNA from 1 species
ACCCUGUAUCUGAACUGUCACCGUAUGGUGCGCGUUCCAGACUUACGUCUGGAUAGGAUAUGGGGUCGAA